GACAGUACUCCUACGGGGAGGCAGCAGUGGGGGAAUAUUGCACAAUGAGCGCAAGCCUGAUGCAGCCAUGCCGCGUGUGUGAAGAAGGCCUUCGGGUUGUAAAGCACUUUCAGUCGUGAGGAAGGUAGUGUAGUUAAUAGCUGCAUUAUUUGACGUUAGCGACAGAAGAAGCACCGGCUAACUCCGUGCCAGCAGCCGCGGUAAUACGGAGGGUGCGAGCGUUAAUCGGAAUUACUGGGCGUAAAGCGCAUGCAGGUGGUUUGUUAAGUCAGAUGUGAAAGCCCGGGGCUCAACCUCGGAAUAGCAUUUGAAACUGGCAGACUAGAGUACUGUAGAGGGGGGUAGGAAUUUCAGGUGUAGCGGUGAAAUGCGUAGAGAUCUGAAGGAAUACCGGUGGCGAAGGCGGCCCCCUGGACAGAUACUGACACUCAGAUGCGAAAGCGUGGGGAGCAAACAGGAUUAGAUACCCUGGUAG
rnacentral:rRNA from 1 species